rnacentral:rRNA from 1 species
GUGGAUUAGAUACCCUGGUAGUCCAUGCCGUAAACGGUGGGCGCUAGGUGUGGGUUUCCUUCCACGGGAUCCGUGCCGUAGCUAACGCAUUAAGCGCCCCGCCUGGGGAGUACGGCCGCAAGGCUAAAACUCAAAGGAAUUGACGGGGGCCCGCACAAGCGGCGGAGCAUGUGGAUUAAUUCGAUGCAACGCGAAGAACCUUACCUGGGCUUGACAUAUACAGGAUCGCGCCAGAGAUGGUGUUUCCCUUGUGGCUUGUAUACAGGUGGUGCAUGGUUGUCGUCAACU